GAAAGUGAAAGUGUUUUUGGAGUCAGCAGCAGGAGAGGAGCUGCCUCUGUCCCCUCGCCCAGCAAGAAAAUCCUGUGCUGCUCUUACUGAGCUGGGCCUGCACCAUCAUUCCAGCUGUCAGGGGGUCAGGCUGGCCUGUAGAACCGCAGGCUGGUUCCCCAAACCCGAACUCCAGUGGGUUGGAAAGAACUGGCAGAACCUGGCAAUGGAGAUUGUGACCAACAUGACUCAGGACAGGGAGAACCUGUAUAGUGACUACAUUCAUCUGACGAAGUGCGUAUUCUUCCACGAAAGCUUAUGCUCCAAUACGUCUGUUAGUCUAUAAGGUGCCACAGGACUCUUUGUCACUUUUUACAGCUCCAGACUAACACGGCUACCCCUCUGAUACUUGUAUAGUGUUGUGAGUCACGUCACUGUCACAGAAGGAGAACAGAAUGGAGACAUCAGCUGCAUAGUGCGGAAUGGUCUGCUGGAAACCGAGCGACAGCCAUUCACUUCUCAGGUGCCAUCACAACAGGAGAUGCCCAGGGGCUUUUGGUCUGAGCCCGGUGUAACUCGCUCACUUUCCUGCACUCUGUGAGGGCGGCUCUGUCACUGUUCAGACCACCAGCUCUUGGGCUUCAGAGCCAGGCUCCCUUGGAGAACCUCAGAGAUGGAGAGAAGGAGCCACAAAGACACUGUCUGCACCAGAAAUAUCACAGUGUGAGAGGUUCUUCAAUCCCACAUCACAGCCUGUGACACCCCCCAGCCCCGCUGGGCUGUGUGUUCGUGGUCAGGCUGGGGAGAGCUCACUGCUGGGCAGGGGAAGUGGUGUUUGCGCAGGAGACUCUGCAGAUGCUCAGGGUGCUGUCUGCUCGUCCUGCAGUUCCCUUCCUGUGCGGCUGCACAGAGCAGCCAGAUUGCGUGUGCAGAGAGUCGCUGAGCAGGAGCCGCUGCUCACAGCACCGACUCUCCUCUCCCUUCCCUCUUCAAAGCAGCAGCUGGUCGCUCUCUAGUCCUCCAGCGUCUGGCUACAUCAAUAUCCCCUGCAGGAUGGGGGAGAUGGGUCUAAUUCUGCCGUGGCUGCCCGGGGGGUUGGGCUGUAGGGAGGGAGGCAGGAUUCAGUUCAGGGUCCAGGCCCACCAGAGGGUUGGAUGCUCUGUGAGAUCAAUGAAACCCCCUCAGCCUAUUUCCCAGCUUGUGUCUCUGACACUUGCCCUAUGUUUUUGGGCCCAUCCCAGCCAGGCUCUCCCCACACUGGGACACAAACAGCCCCUGUGCAUUGGCUUCCAGGGCCAGAAGGGAUGUUAGCUCAGCCAGUCUGACCUGGACAGCCCAGAGACUCCCCACAGCCCCCUGCAAUGAGCCAAUAGCUCAUGUGGACCAAAGCCUCUCCCAGGAAGGCUCCAGCCUAGCUCUGACACCGUCAGGGAUGGAGAAUCCCCCCUGCCCUGGAUGGUUUGUCCCAGGGUUAAUCACCUGCCUGGCUAGAAAUUGAGGCCUGUUUCUCACUGUCAUUUGUCUGGCGUCAGCUGGGCCCAGGCUCCCCAAGGCUCAGCCUGUUCCCAGCGUUAGAGGGGGGAGGGACGUGAUGGGGAGGGUUUGUGGGAGGUGGGAGCUUUGGGUGAAUAGCCCCAAGUCACUGGAGCCCUGGGCUGUGGGCUCAGCUCUGGCGUAGCAUUGUCAGCCCUAGAGCUCAGAACCUGUCGCCAAGGGGGGCUGGACAGGUAGAGCGAGGGAGCGGCAGAGGGGAUGGAGCCCAGGUCUCCGAACACCUGGGGACUGGACGGUGCCAUAUCCCUGGAGUCAGGAGCAUGUGGCCCUGAGGUGACAGCUGAGACCUCCUCGGGCAACAUGUGGCCACAGCCACCUUAAGCAGCAGAGCAGGGAAUGACUGUGGAUUAUUUGCUCCUGACCCCAUCAGGAGCAGAAGCCCCUGGACUGUUUGCAUCCCUCUUGGUUCCUCUUGGGUUUUCUGAACCCAAAGCUGUGGUAAC